rnacentral:lncRNA from 1 species
UCAAAUGAGUCAGAGCUUGUGAAAGCCCUUCAUAAACGCUAAAGCAACACACGUGAGAAAAGUGUUUCCGCAACAGCUCACUGAGAGGUAGGGUAAACCCGCAGGGGUCACGGGAUGGAGUGUCACCAGUGAAACGAAAUGGAAAGUACUCUAACCAAAGCUGUUCUGUGCUGCGCUGGAUAACGAGCAGCACCAGAGUUCCUCCAGCGGUCUACCUCACGGUCAGCAGGACAUAGAGCUGAACGAACACACGAGGCAAACACUUGUACAUUGCCGUGGUGCCAAGACACUGAUGGGAUCCACAGGAACGUCACUUGGGCACUUCUUGUUACUACACAUUUGAUAAGAUGUUUCAACUAGCAAAAAGAGGCCACAGAACCCCAGUGUACCCCACUGGUCUUUAUGCCUCAGCAGCAAGCACCAGGUUCAGUCUGAUCUCCCUAAGAACAGGUGGAAAUGCUACUGAAGCAACUAAAAUGCAAAGAUAACCACUCACCUUGACGAUCCUAUCCUUCCCAGCAUAGCCACACAGAAACACAGGAUGACUACAGGCGUAAGGGACACAGGAAUACAGACUGUCUCCUGACAGAUCUCCUAUAAGCCAGCCCUUUCUUAUCAGACUUGGGUUCUAUUUAACAACAUGAAGAGGCAUUUAAGUUCACAGAUGUAAUCCACGGCAUGGCUUGCAAUCUCCCCACAGAGCUUCAUGAAACAGGAAGAAAUCAACUGACUGAGGAGACCUAACCCUCACUUCCUAUUUGCCUCUAUGAGCUGUCUAGGGAAGAAAUUCCAUCACGACUACAUGAGAGGUUCCCAGACUUGCAAAUUUUAUGGUCCAGUAAAAUACUCCAAAUUUAGGACACUCACAAGAGACUGUCAACUCAAUGUUACUAAGGAUAGAACCAGGCUGAGUGGUGGUCCCUGAUGAAACCAGGCUCACAAGUCACACCCCACAGCCAAAGGUGUGGGACGGAGGGACAGCCGAUUCCAUUCACGGCCACAACACUGACAGGAUCACCACUUGUAAUUAAUGAGUCAAAAUACACCACCACGAAGAGAGGAAAUAUUUUAGAUCUGUUCAAGUAUAUAAUUUGACCUUACUACUUACAUAUUAUCAAACUUCCAAUUUAAAUAUGUUCUAGUUUAAAUGGUUUUAAAACAAAUGCAAAAGUUGCUAGAUGUGCAAUACCAACAAAUCUAAAACUGCAACUGGACAUUAAAUUCAAAAUUUUACUUUUAGAAUUAUACAAUUACUCAGCAGGACCACUUACUUAAAUCCCAUCCUAAACCAAUUAUCUAUUAAUAAAAAACCACAUCAAAAGUAAUUUGUCAAUCAAACCUCAAUAAAGCUGGGAAAAAAUUAAUCAAUUCAAAGAAUUCUACCUUAAACUAUUGUGUUAAAUCAGAAUGUCCUUGGUAACCCUAAAAUGAUUUAAAAU